ACGCCGCAAAAGUCCAUAAUUUUACCAAAAAAAGGCCAUUAUAGCUUAAUUUUGCUUACCCGCUCACUCCCAAAAAAUCCCGCUCACUCCCAAACUCCCUCUUCUUCUCAUCUAUGUCGCUUGCCCUAAAUCCCCCAAAUAAAAUUUAGCUACUCUUUUUCUCUUAUUACUCUUUUUCUCUCGAUCCUUCAUUUCUUUUCACUGUCUAGAUAUAUCCGCCUCUCUCAUCUUCGUAAGUACUCUCACUUUGAAUACUCCCAUUUUCUUAUUGAUUUUGCAGAUCGGUUCUCUAGUCCUUUCUUCGGGUGUAGCGUUGUUUAUACGUUUGGUUGUUGUUGAAGAAGUGCUACUACCAUGGCUACAAAGAAUAGCGUUGGGGGCUAGAAGGAAGCUGAUUUGAAGUGAAAGAAAGUGUUUGUUAGAGUCGAUCUGAACGUUCCAUUGGAUGAUAACUUCAACAUAACUGAUGACACAAUGAUCCGUGCUGCUGUUCCCACCAUCAAAUAUUUGAUAGGUCAUGGCUCUAAAGUCAUCUUCUCUAGUCAUUUGGAUGAGCAACCAGAAGUACAAGGACUAGCAGUUUUGGUCUCAACUGAAAGAGGAUCAACUAUUAGUCCAAUUGGAUUUCGCCCGACAUUGAAGAAUUAGUCAAGAAGCUGAAGGCAAGGAAUACUGAUGUAUAUCUAAUUUCCAGGGGCUUCCGCCAAAUGAUCAAUCCUGUUGCAUCAAUCAUUGGAAUUCCGCAAGAAAACAUUUUUGCCAAUCAGCUGCUCUUUGGAAGUUCUGGGGAGUUUUUGGGAUUCGAUGCUAAUGAGCCCACUUCGAGGAGUGAAGGAAAAGCUACUGCUGUUCAACAAAUAAGAAAGGUUAAGGGAUACAAGGCAUUAGUCAUGAUUAGUGGUGGUGCUACUCUUGAGGAUUUCGCCCGUCAUUGAAGAAUUAGUCAAGAAGCUGAAGGCAAGGAAUACCGAUGUUUAUCUAAUUUCCGGGGGCUUCUGCCAAAUGAUCAAUGGGGUAUGUUGGAAUUCACAGUUCGGGAUUCACAGACUUUCUGCUGAAACCGGAGCUGCUUCGAUCUAUUGUGGAUUCUGGUUUUGAACAUCCUUCCGAAGGCAAAGUUUUAAACUCAUGUCUGAUGUUAACCUUCGUGAAUUCCAUGAAUUAAUUCAUUUUGUUUUUCUUGCUUUUAGUGACUUAUAAUGGUGGGCAGUAUACAAGUUUGGUGCUUUAUUAUUUUGAUCUACUGUUUUGGAUAAAGCAUUUGUUGUUACAUGAUAUGCUUUGUGGUAAUCUUUGAAA